UUUAACACUCUGAAAUUGGGAUGUAUAUUACAAUCAAUAAUGUCUAACAAGCAUAAUUUAGAACAUUCUUUUCUUUCCUAGUGGUGUGCAAAAUCCCAGUGAAACUGACAACAGAAGGCAUCAUAGACCAAAUGAAAUACAAUAUUAGCCACCGUCUCCCUUUAACCAAUCUUACCUGAAAUGAAUCUGAGACAUGAAAUAAGCUGUUCAAGAUGACAGAACUGAAUCAGGGGACCAGGAGGAGCAAGCAGAGAAAAGUCCAGUGUUCUUCUGGCUUCCCUUUCACUAUUUAUUCUUGGAAUCAGCAAAUGUGCGUUGAGUAAGUACUAGUGUAGGUGCUCCGGGUUAGGUGCUGGGAAUGCAACUUCUAACCAAACAGAGUCUAUCU
rnacentral:lncRNA from 1 species